GGCGAAGUUGUACAGCGGCCUCUUGGGUCGCUUCAGCGACGUCUCCAGGAUCUUCGACGCCCCUUCGAUGACUUGCACCAAGUCGUCGUACAUGGAGCCGGUGACAUCGAACACGAAGCACUGAUGUCAUGAGAAGGAAGCACAUAACCAGAGCUGUGCAACGCAUUCGCCAUAAAACCCCAAACCAUGGAAAACUUGCCUCAUCUGUAACUUUCCUACCAGAAAACUCGGACCAGAGCAAACUGCUGAUACCAAAACAGAUUCUCCUCCUUGGAUCCCAUGGACCACUCUCAGCAGGCUGCGCCUAUGGAGCUCUUUCUCACGACACCUCUUUGCUGGUCAGCAAACUCUGCACGUAUACCAGAUACUCUGAGCUGUUUUGUCACAGACAUUUGACAAAAGUUCCUCUGCAACUCCACGCACAUUAAAAAGUUUUACUCCCACUCCUCCUCCAAGUCAUCCCGCUCCCCCACCCCGUUUUUUUAUUUUAUUUUUGCUUUGUUUGGACUUCACUAAUUGUUGUGGAAAAGGACGGAAUCUUUGCUGUUUGUUUUGGGUAUCUCGCUUUGGCUAUCUCUGUGAGAAGUGUAUGUAUUGUAUAGCAAGAGCUCUCCAGUUCAUAGACGGUGUUUUCUCAGCCAGUUUUUAGUCCUGUCUUUCUAUUUUAUGUAUAUUCACACUCCAGUCUUGCACAUGAGAAGUGUAACUUCGUACUUGUCAAAGACAUUCACUACUCCAAAACUGAAAACAAUGUUUUAGGUCUCAAAUUCUGAGCUUUGAAGUAGCAUGCAGGCAGAACUUCAUUUGGGAGGGACAAGGUUAACAUGCCAUCCUAGAAGAGGAAAAGGAGUUAGCAGGUAUGCCAAGGAGCCUGAAACCAGGUAAAGCUGCUGCUAAUAGCUCUGCAACAAAAGAUAAACAAGGAGCAGAAAAGAGGAAGGACAGACAGGUGAACCUGUGGUUAUAUUUGGCAACAUCUUCACAUUUAUGUACAAAGAACCUAGCACUGCUUUUGGGGGGAGAUUUUGUUGUGUGAAUGCCAUUACAGGAUCAGGGUUCAAACUCAGAAGUGAUUAAAUAAACACUGACCCUGAAUAAACACUG